CAUAGGUUAAUGAGGCGAACCGGGGGAACUGAAACAUCUAAGUACCCCGAGGAAAAGAAAUCAACCGAGAUUCCCCCAGUAGCGGCGAGCGAACGGGGAGGAGCCCAGAGCCUGAAUCAGUGUGUGUGUUAGUGGAAGCGUCUGGAAAGGCGCGCGAUACAGGGUGACAGCCCCGUACACAAAAAUGCACAUAUUGUGAGCUCGAUGAGUAGGGCGGGACACGUGGUAUCCUGUCUGAAUAUGGGGGGACCAUCCUCCAAGGCUAAAUACUCCUGACUGACCGAUAGUGAACCAGUACCGUGAGGGAAAGGCGAAAAGAACCCCGGCGAGGGGAGUGAAAAAGAACCUGAAACCGUGUACGUACAAGCAGUGGGAGCCUCUUAAUGGGGUGACUGCGUACCUUUUGUAUAAUGGGUCAGCGACUUAUAUUCUGUAGCAAGGUUAACCGAAUAGGGGAGCCGAAGG
rnacentral:rRNA from 1 species